UGGUUGUCGUCAGCUCGUGUCGUGAGAUGUUGGGUUAAGUCCCGCAACGAGCGCAACCCUCGUCGUAUGUUGCCAGCACGUAAUGGUGGGAACUCAUAUGAGACUGCCGGGGUCAACUCGGAGGAAGGUGGGGAUGACGUCAAAUCAUCAUGCCCCUUAUGUCUUGGGCUUCACGCAUGCUACAAUGGCCGGUACAAAGGGCUGCGAUACCGCAAGGUGGAGCGAAUCCCAAAAAGCCGGUCUCAGUUCGGAUUGAGGUCUGCAACUCGACCUCAUGAAGUCGGAGUCGCUAGUAAUCGUAGAUCAGCAACGCUACGGUGAAUACGUUCCCGGGUCUUGUACACACC
rnacentral:rRNA from 1 species